rnacentral:ribozyme from 1 species
CGACAAAAAAUCUCAAAAAGAGAGAGCACGUCGAGAUAUGGCCCCCAUUAAAGACUACUUUUGAAUGCCUCAAUUCAAUUUUCCCUCCCUUGUUUUGGUUUACUUUGUGCCCUUUCUCUCUCUUAUUUGUUGUGAAUUUUAAAA